rnacentral:snRNA from 1 species
AGCUUUGCGCAGUGGCGAUACAGUAACCAAUGAUCGAUUAGAGAGGUGCUGUUAUUGCUAGUURAAAACUAUUCCCAAUSCCCCGCCAUGACGACGCGAAAUAUCAUCGGCUACGGCAAUUUCUGCUUGCUCGUAAAGAG